rnacentral:lncRNA from 1 species
AUCAUAUAUAUAAAGAGUUAACUUUCAAGUACAAUCCUCAUUCACUUCAAAACAAUAAUUAAUAUGGAAUUUACAGAGGCAAUGAGAGAAUUUGUUUUUAAAGAAUUGGAUUAUUAUCCUUACUCGUUAAUUACGAACCAGGAAACUUUUCCUUGUAGUGUUUGUAAUGUAUCGCAAGAAAUGAGGUUAGAGAGGGAAAUGUUUAAAACUGCCAAUGGAAGAUAAUUCGUUUAAUGGCAGUUUGAAGAAGUGUAUCAUCAUAUUUUACAUUUAACAAUUAGUGAAAUAAUAUGUUUUACCAUAUAGAAACUGGCAUACUGUGCAGUAUCCAAUAUUUAGCCAAAAGGAUUAUGGAAAAAGAUGAGUACCAAUUUGGAAUGGGAG